rnacentral:rRNA from 1 species
GUGAAUCAUCGAGUUGUUGAACGCAUUGCACCGCGCCCUAAUCCGGCUGCGGUAUGCCCCUUUGAGCGUCAUUUAUUCCUUCGGGAGUCUUUCCUUGCGAAAGACCCGAGUUCGGAGUCCUCGGUCUUUGGAUCGUGUUCUCUUAGAUGCGUCGCGCCGAUCGCCUGAUGGGUACUCUAAUGCCUGAGCGUGGAGUCCCUCUGGAGUUGAGACGUGCUUGACCGGCCGUUGGGCUCGCGUCACCAAGUCCGCGUCCUUUGGGACGGCGGUACUACAACGCAUGACCUCAUUGGGGUAGGACAACCCGCUAGACUUAAGCAUAUUAAUCAGCGGAGGAAAAGA